GUACCACUGUAUUUGAUUCCAGGGGGCAGGGAGCAAUUUGCAGCCCCCCUCAAGCCAAAAAAUUGUGGAAGUAAAGUGACAAAAUUUGGGCAUACAGUUCUUUCCUGCUGUUAUCAUGGGGGAAUAGGAACCUGCAUGUGUGGAAAGGCAGCAGGGGCCAAGAGGAAGUAGCCGCAUUGUCCAAUGAUUUCUGUUGUUGUGACAUAACACGGCCACUGAUGUGAAUGAAAUUUAGCGCAUCAUGCUGGUAUAUCGGUCAAAAAGCCACAGCUCCAUAAUGCAACAGUCUCUGCAGUGUGAAAGGAAUGUUAGGAAACGAGACAGAAGCAGUAACAUUAUAAUAAAGAAAAUGAUUGCAAUAUUCCCCAUAUCUGGAGACAUCCUGAGAGUACAAAAGACAGGGAAAUAAUAGAUAGGGAUUGAUCCAAGACAUUUGCCCACAUUCCCAGGGAUUGCUGAAUGAAAAUUAUUUUUUAAAAAAAAUAAUAUUUUUUUUUAAAUUUUCAAACAUAAUAAUUGUCAUACAUUCCACAAAAUUUCUUCUCUUAUACAAUCUUUUUGGACUUCCCUCAGCACCUCUGAUGAUCUUCCAUUUUUAUAAUUUAUUCUGCAUUUCUUAAAUUCAUAUUGCCUUAAUUAUCCUAACUAAUGUUAUCCUUUUCAUUCAAUAAAGCAAUAAUUCCAAUUAUUUACCUUACAAAACUUCUUGUAAACCUACAAAUGUAAUCUGGUCAUCACAACUACUUUUCAAAUAGUCUGUAAAUUUACGCCAAUCUUCUGUGAAUCUCUGGUUCCGCCGGUUUCGAAUUCUUCCCGUUAGUUUAUCUAGUUCUGCAUAGUCCAUCAGUUUCAUCCUCCAGUCUUCUUUCAUCGGUAAUUCUUCUUGCUUCCAAUUUUGUGCCAAUAAUAUUCUUGCUGCCAUCAUUGCAUACAGAAACAACUUACAGUCACUUCUAAUUAUAUCAUCUCCAACAAUGCCUAGUAAAAAUGCUUCUGAUUUUUUAAUAAACGUAUAUUUC